rnacentral:rRNA from 1 species
AUUGAACGCUGGCGGCAGGCUUAACACAUGCAAGUCGAGCGGGGUGAUGGUGCUUGCACUAUCACUUAGCGGCGGACGGGUGAGUAAUGCUUAGGAAUCUGCCUAUUAGUGGGGGACAACAUCUCGAAAGGGAUGCUAAUACCGCAUACGUCCUACGGGAGAAAGCAGGGGAUCACUUGUGACCUUGCGCUAAUAGAUGAGCCUAAGUCGGAUUAGCUAGUUGGUGGGGUAAAGGCCCACCAAGGCGACGAUCUGUAGCGGGUCUGAGAGGAUGAUCAGCCACACGGGGACGGAGACACGGCCCCGACGCAUACGGGAGGCAGAAGUGGGGAAUAUUGGACAAUGGGGGGAACCCUGAUCUAGCCAUGCCGCGUGUGUGAAGAAGGCCUUAUGGUUGUAAAGCACUUUAAGCGAGGAGGAGGCUCUUUUGGUUAAUACCCAAGAUGAGUGGACGUUACUCGCAGAAUAAGCACCGGCUAACUCUGUGCCAGCCGCCGCCGUAA